CUCGAUAUCACUUUUAAGUUUUAUUAGAACAAACGUAAGAGCUCGCGUACACCGGGAUUCUCUUUACAUUCGAAAUUGUACGUAUAUAAAAAAAAUAAAAAAUGAUGAAAUUAAAAAAAAAAUGGGGGGGGNAGGUUCAUUUGUUCAUACCAGUUGCAUCUUUUGCUUUUUCUGCAGCUCCUUGUGCACUUUCCUUCACCUGCUGUCCAGCCUGCAAAAGUUUGAUCUUUUUAGUCAAUUAAAUUGGUUUUCCAACGUCAAAAUAGAUGACGACUGUUGUGAUUAUAAAACAAAGAUUGAUACAUGUAGAUUUAUGUUAUAAUCUUUGAAUUGAUAUGAGUUUUGAAUUUGAAACAUAUGACUAUUGACAUUUCGAAAUCAAAGGUGGUAUAAAACUGGAAAUUUGCGACCUGCUGAACGGAGUCCUGAGCAGACUGGGCAGCUUGGCCAGCCUUGUCCAUCAGCUGACUUCCCUUCUCCUGAGAACCACAAAACAAAGUUUGAAUGUUAUAUACAUACAUACAUACCUACAUACACACACACAUACGUACAUAUAUACAUACAUACAUGUACGUGUGCAUCCAUGCAUACUACGUAAAUGAUAUCUAUAUGAGAGUUGAGAGAUUGCUCACUUCGACUUGGCCCUUGGCUUGGCCAGCUUUCAUUUCUGCGCUUUGAGAGUUGUUCAUGGUUCUUGUUUUGAGAUUGGUACGAUUGAAAUGUGUUGAAUACAAACGGAUUGUUUUGAUGAAAAGCUACAAAGGGGAGAUGGGAUUUAUAUAUGGCAUGUAAAUGCUCGUUUUCCAUUAAUAUCUCCAUAUUUUUUGGGCGUUUGAAUAGGAAGAAGUUGUGUAUGAGAAGGAAAACUUACACUUGGUAUCAUUU
rnacentral:lncRNA from 1 species